CAGGGAUUGCCCUAGUAACGGCGAGUGAAGCGGCAACAGCUCAAAUUUGAAAUCUGGCCCUUGGGUCCGAAUUGUAAUUUGUAGAGGAUGUUUUUGGUGCGGUAUCUUCCGAGUUCCUUGGAACAGGACGCCUUAGAGGGUGAGAGCCCCGUACGGUUGAAUGCCUAGCCUUUGUAAAACUCCUUCGACGAGUCGAGUAGUUUGGGAAUGCUGCUCUAAAUGGGAGGUAAAUUUCUUCUAAAGCUAAAUACCGGCCAGAGACCGAUAGCGCACAAGUAGAGUGAUCGAAAGAUGAAAAGCACUUUGAAAAGAGGGUUAAAUAGCACGUGAAAUUGUUGAAAGGGAAGGAUUUAUGACCAGACUUUUUCUAGGCGAAUCAUCCGGUGUUCUCACCGGUGCACUUCGUUUAGCUUAGGCCAGCAUCGAUUUUCGGGGUGGGAUAAAAGCUUUAGGAAUGUGGCUCCCUCGGGAGUGUUAUAGCCUAUUGUAUAAUACCGCCCUGGGGAUCGAGGUACGCGCUUCUGCAAGGAUGCUGGCGUAAUGGUUAUCAAUCACCCGUCUUGAAACACGGACCAAGGAGUCGAACAUUUGUGCGAGUGUUUGGGUGUUAAACCCUCACGCGUAAUGAAAGUGAACGGAGGUGAGAGCCCUUUACGGGGUGCAUCAUCGACCGAUCCUGAUGUCUUCGGAUGGAUUUGAGUAAGAGCAUAAAUGUUCGGACCCGAAAGAUGGUGAACUAUGCGUGGAUAGGGUGAAGCCAGAGGAAACUCUGGUGGAGGCUCGCAGCGGUUCUGACGUGCAAAUCGAUCGUCAAAUCUGCGCAUGGGG
rnacentral:rRNA from 1 species